rnacentral:lncRNA from 1 species
AACCAUCUCAGCACCCCACCACACCCAGCAGGAGAGGACAGGGGAGAUGGGAGGGAGGUGGGAGUGCAGUGGUGGAGGUCCCUGUGCCCAAAUGUCCUCCAUUUCCAUGCCAUUGUGUUAUCACAGGACUGAUGAGACACAGAGUCUUCUCAGGAAAAGCAAAUUAAGCUGCUUUAUGUCCUCUGGAUCUUCAUGUAGUAUGUAAGAGGGUUGCUCUGUGUGUCUGCGUAGCCAUUAAAAGUGAUUUUGAAAAUAAAUGGAGAAACUUAGGAAAAAGAAAGAAGCUCUACCUGUCAGGAAUGAGGUGACAAUAACUGAGAAAAGUGAGGAAAAGUGAAUGAAUAAAGCAAAAGGGACAUAAAAGGAGGAAGUGGGAAGGAGAACAACAAGGGAAGAGAGGAAAAUACAUGGCAGCAGCACUACAGUGAGCAUGGAUCAAGCAAGGGGAUACUGGGAAGGGGCAAGGAAAAAAGACACAGAGAGGAAAAAUCAAGGGGAAAUGGAUUCAGAGGGAGCAAAGGAAAUCACCCCAGAACAUUUCUUUGGAGUACAUGAAGUGCCUGAGAGCCUUCCAGGCUGCUCCUGAGGCUGUUCCAACAGCACCUCCAGCAGGUGUGGUCCCAGCCAGGGGCAGGGAAAGGGACAUCGGGAUCCACCACAGCCCAUUCAGGAGACAGCAAGCUCAGGAUGGUAUGGGAAGGACCCAAGUGCAUGACCAGGAGCAGGACACCUGGAGACAAAAGGGAAAGCAGGGAAGGAAAGCCCAGCACAGUUACCUGAGCCUGAGGAGCUGCCCAGCCCCGGGAGGAGUGGAGUUCUGCUUUUGGCUAAGAGGGCACUGGCUGGGGAUGCUGUCACUCCCCGAGGAGGCUGUGCCUGUGGGGAGUGUGGUCCUGGGCCAGACCAUCCCGUCCCGUCCCAUUCCUGCUGCUCAUCCAGCUGCUGGGAUCUUCCUUGUAAACAAGCUGAUUAUUUGCUUUGGGUUAUUUUCUUCCCUUCUCACUUGCUUCCAGAUCCCCAUUUCUUUCAACAUAACAGGAAGGAUAUCAGACACCUCUCAGAUUUGCAUUUUUUCCCAGUUAGCAGGGUGUUUUUCCUACUUAUUUUUCAUAGAAGGAAUAAGUAAGAACAUUUUCCAAUUGCUUUUUCCUAUUUCUUUUCAUUAGUCACUAUGUCAUUGCCUGUCUAUAGCUGUCCAUUACAGCCUUAUGACUUGUCUCCAGCAGGAUAUAAAUAGUCUCUGUUUACCUGGUUCCUGCUUCUGCUCCUACUUCAAACAUUCCCAGUAGCCUGAGGGAUGUCACCUUUCAUUGUGGGCAUCACACCUGUGUUAAAGGGAUUAAUAAUGAAAGGCCACAUGUAAAAAGUCACUUUUGUAAGAAAAAACAAGUGUUCACUCAAGCUGCAAAGCAUUUUUUUGCAGUUGUUUAAAAGGAUAAAACUUUGUUCAAUGUGGCACCAUUUCCAUCUUUUCUGAUGUCAGGUUAAGAUUAUGUUGAACAGAUAGAACAAGAGGACAAGGUUUUUGUGUUGUGGCUCUUUGAAUCAUGAUACAGCAUUGAAACCCAAAACAGAGCUGAGGGGGCUGAUUUGAAUUAGAGAUUGCAAAGAAUUGUGAGAAAAGGAAAAAAGAUUUUUCAAAGAGUAGUAAUAUAAAUUCCAGUGUAUUUCAGUGCCCCUUCCAAAAUCUUCCUGACUGGAUUCUGGAAUGGUAGAACACUAGUAAAAAGAAAAAUGCACACAUUCUUUUUUUUAAGGCAUGUUUUUCUCUGAGCUAUGGACAGAAAACUUCUUACAUUUACACUCAUGAAGUCCCUGUGAAGUAGGAAAAAAUCCUAUGUAAAGGAAUGCCCCAUUUCAAAUCCAAUCUAAAAAGUGAGAGUAAGGAUACAUCUGUGAAAUUCCAUAAAAAAAAAAAAAAAAAAAAAAA